rnacentral:rRNA from 1 species
CAGUCGCCGCGGUAAUACGUAGGGUGCGAGCGUUAAUCGGAAUUACUGGGCGUAAAGCGUGCGCAGGCGGUUCGGAAAGAGAGAUGUGAAAUCCCAGGGCUUAACCUUGGAACUGCAUUUUUAACUACCGGACUAGAGUGUGUCAGAGGGAGGUGGAAUUCCGCGUGUAGCAGUGAAAUGCGUAGAGAUGCGGAGGAACACCGAUGGCGAAGGCAGCCUCCUGGGAUAACACUGACGCUCAUGCACGAAAGCGUGGGGAGCAAACAGGAUUAGAUACCCCUGUAGUCCCUGUCUCUUAUAC